GCCCGAAGAAAUUUGGAUUAAUACCUAAUGGUAUAUAAGAGCGGCAUCGUUUUUAUAUUAAAGCUACGGUGGUGAAAGAUGAGUAUGCGUUCUAUUAGCUAGUUGGAGAGGUAACGGCUCCCCAAGGCGACGAUAGAUAGGGGUUCUGAGAGGGAUGUCCCCCACACUGGUACUGAGAUACGGACCAGACUCCUACGGGAGGCAGCAGUGAGGAAUAUUGGACAAUGGUCGGAAGACUGAUCCAGCCAUGCCGCGUGCAGGAUGAAGGUCCUAUGGAUUGUAAACUGCUUUUGUAAGGGAAGAAUAAGGAGUACGUGUACUUUGAUGACGGUACCUUACGAAUAAGCAUCGGCUAACUCCGUGCCAGCAGCCGCGGUAAUACGGAGGAUGCGAGCGUUAUCCGGAAUCAUUGGGUUUAAAGGGUCCGUAGGCGGGCUGAUAAGUCAGAGGUGAAAGCGCUUAGCUCAACUAAGCAACUGCCUUUGAAACUGUCAGUCUUGAAUGAUUGUGAAGUAGUUGGAAUGUGUAGUGUAGCGGUGAAAUGCUUAGAUAUUACACAGAACACCGAUAGCGAAGGCAUAUUACUAACAAUUUAUUGACGCUGAUGGACGAAAGCGUGGGGAGCGAACAGG
rnacentral:rRNA from 1 species